UCCCUUGUAGCUCAGUCGGUAAAGAAUCUGCCUGCAGUGCAGGAAACCCGGGUUCGAUCCCUGGGUUGGGAA
rnacentral:tRNA from 1 species